rnacentral:rRNA from 1 species
UACGGAGGGUGCGAGCGUUGUCCGGAAUCACUGGGCGUAAAGGGCGCGUAGGUGGCGACCCAAGUCAACGGUGAAAGCUCGGCGCUUAACGCCGAGUCGGCCGUCGAUACUGGGUGGCUCGAGCACUGUAGAGGCAGAUGGAAUUCCGGUGUAGCGGUGAAAUGCGUAGAUAUCGGAAGGAACAUCAGUGGCGAAAGCGGCUUCCUGGUCCAGCACCGACGUUCAGGCACGAAAGCGUGGGGAGCAAACAGG